rnacentral:rRNA from 1 species
ACGGGUGCGUAGCGCGUGGGAAUCUGCCCUUGGGUUCGGAAUAACAGUUAGAAAUGACUGCUAAUACCGGAUGAUGUCUUCGGACCAAAGAUUUAUCGCCCAAGGAUGAGCCCGCGUAAGAUUAGCUAGUUGGUGGGGUAAUGGCCCACCAAGGCGACGAUCUUUAGCUGGUCUGAGAGGAUGAUCAGCCACACUGGGACUGAGACACGGCCCAGACUCCUACGGGAGGCAGCAGUGGGGAAUAUUGGACAAUGGGCGAAAGCCUGAUCCAGCAAUGCCGCGUGAGUGAUGAAGGCCUUAGGGUUGUAAAGCUCUUUUACCAGGGAUGAUAAUGACAGUACCUGGAGAAUAAGCUCCGGCUAACUCCGUGCCAGCAGCCGCGGUAAUACGGAGGGAGCUAGCGUUGUUCGGAAUUACUGGGCGUAAAGCGUACGUAGGCGGUUACUCAAGUCAGAGGUGAAAGCCCGGGGCUCAACCCCGGAACUGCCUUUGAAACUAGGUAGCUAGAGUCUUGGAGAGGUUAGUGGAAUUCCGAGUGUAGAGGUGAAAUUCGUAGA